AAGCCGUUAUGCGGGCAGUCUCUAACCAGCCUCUUAAACCGCACCCAGACGUCACUGAACAAUUCGUCAAUAUCCUGUUCAAAAUUAGUGAUCAACUUCCUACUUCU